rnacentral:siRNA from 1 species
CCAAUGCUACGGUAACGGAGUA